AUGUUGUCUUGGUUGCUCCUGGUGUCUCCGGCGUUGGAAUUGACAAUCUCGAACAUCGUGCUCAGUUUUGGGCGGCUUCUGAAGACGUCGGAAUUCGGGGUGCAAUAUUGGACUCGCCAUUGCUUCCUCCAUGGCUUCUUCCUCCGGCCCUGUCGUGUCCUGCAAUCCACUUGCCGACUCCUCCAUUGUCCUAGACUUGGGACUUGUGGCCGCAUGACAGAGCUCGCGGCCCGCGCGGCCACCCUGCAGCCGGCGAGCCGCAAGUACACCUACGCGGCCACGGAGCCCGGCGGCCGGAAGGUCAAGUGGACGGCAGAGGAGAAGCCGCGCGGCAGGGGCUGGGCACUCAAGUGCGAGGCGGAGCUCGCCUCCCCCAACGACGAUAGAUUCGACCGCAAGUGGAGGUGGGAGGCCAAGUCCAAGGGCGGCGCCGGAGGCAAGACCAAAACCAAGUGGGGCACCGAGAUCAAGGGCAAAGGCUCGCUCGAGCCAUGGUCGCAUGCCUACACCUGGGAGGAGGACUUCACCGCCUCUGACGACGACGAGGAUGAGCUGGAGGUCGAGGAGCGCAGGCCGGAGAAGCCCAAGAAGAUCAAGGCCGCCGCCAAGGACAAGGAGGAUGACAAGAAGAAGAAGAAGCCGGCGAGGACGUGCGUCCAGAUCGAGGAGAUCCCCGAGGACAACACCGCCGGCUGCGACGCCAUCCGCAAGGUACGGUACUCAGCACAAAAGAUGAGAUUUUUGCGGGGGUUUGGAUUCUGUGGCCCGAUCUGA
rnacentral:rRNA from 1 species